GACGAACGCUGGCGGCGUGCCUAAUACAUGCAAGUCGAACGGAAAGGCCCGGCUCUUGUGGGGUGCUUGAUUGGCGAACGGGUGAGUAACACGCGAGUAUCCUGCCCUUGAAUGUGUGAGAUCUCUAGGAAACUGGGGCUAAUACCGGAUAUGAGCUCCUGAUGCAUGGUGGGGGUUGGAAAGAUUCGGCCGUUGGGGCUGGUCUCGAGGCUUAUCAGCUUGUUGGGGAGGUAGUUGCUUACCAAGGCUAUGACGGCUAGCCGGCCUGGGAGGGUUACCGGCGACAUUGGGACUGCGGUACGGCCCAGACUCCUACGGGCCGCAGCAGUGGGGAAUAUUGCAGAAUGGGCGGAAGCCUGAUGCAGAAACGCCGCGUGCGGGAUGACGGCUUUCGGGUUGUAAACAGCUUUCGCCUGUGCCGAAGAGUGAGUGACGGUAAUGAGUAAAGAAGCACCGGCUAACUACGUG
rnacentral:rRNA from 1 species